CAGCCGCCGCGGGAAUACGAAGGGUGCAAGCGUUACUCGGAAUUACUGGGCGUAAAGCGUGCGUAGGUGGUGGUUUAAGUCCGUUGUGAAAGCCCUGGGCUCAACCUGGGAAUUGCAGUGGAUACUGGGUCACUAGAGUGUGGUAGAGGAUAGUGGAAUUUCCGGUGUAGCAGUGAAAUGUGUAGAGAUCGGAAGGAACAUCUGUGGCGAAGGCGACUAUCUGGGACAACACUGACGCUGAGGCACGAAAGCGUGGGGAGCAAACAGGAUUAGAUACCCCAGUAGUCCCUGUCUCUUAUAC
rnacentral:rRNA from 1 species